rnacentral:rRNA from 1 species
UACGGAGGGUGCAAACGUUGCUCGGAAUUACUGGGCGUAAAGGGCUCGUAGGCGGCCAACUAAGUCGGACGUGAAAUCCCUCGGCUUAACCGGGGAACUGCGUCCGAUACUGGAUGGCUUGAGUUCGGGAGAGGGAUGCGGAAUUCCAGGUGUAGCGGUGAAAUGCGUAGAUAUCUGGAGGAACACCGGUGGCGAAGGCGGCAUCCUGGACCGACACUGACGCUGAGGAGCGAAAGCCAGGGGAGCAAACGGG